rnacentral:rRNA from 1 species
UACGUAGGCAGCGAGCGUUGUUCGGAGUUACUGGGCGUAAAGAGUGCGUAGGCGGUUUUCUAAGUUUGGUGUGAGAUCUCCCGGCUUAACUGGGAGGGUGCGCCGAAGACUGGAAGGCUUGAGUAUGGGAGAGGUAAGCGGAAUUCCUGGUGUAGCGGUGAAAUGCGUAGAUAUCAGGAGGAACACCUGCGGUGUAGACGGCUUACUGGACCAUCACUGACGCUGAGGCACGAAAGCGUGGGUAGCAAACAGG